UCAAGCGACUAAGGGCUUCUAGUGGAUGCCUAGGCGUUGAGAGGCGAUGAAGGACGUGGCACGCUGCGAUAAGAUGCGGGGAGGCGCGAGCACCCUUUGAUCCGCAUAUUUCCGAAUGGGGAAACCCACCUUUACGGUCUGCGAAUUUUGCUUCCGGGUCACCCCGGAGGCACGGUUCGUAGGUCGUAUUUAAGGUAUAAUGACCUGAAUACAUAGGGUUCAUUAAGCAAACCCAGGGAACUGAAACAUCUCAGUACCUGGAGGAAAGGACAUCAAAAGAGACUCCCGUAGUAGUGGCGAGCGAACCGGGACCAGGCCAGUGCUGUCGUGACAUAAAGCUGAACGAUCUGGAAAGGUCGACCAUAGUGGGUGAAAGUCCCGUAGGCGUCAAAUAGCGACAGACUCGAGUAGGGCGGGACACGUGAAAUCCUGUCUGAACAUGGGGGGACCACCCUCCAAGCCUAAGUACUCCUCAACGACCGAUAGUGAACAAGUACCGUGAGGGAAAGGUGAAAAGCACCCCGACUAGGGGAGUGAAAUAGUUCCUGAAACCGGAAGCCUACAAGCAGUCGGAGCCCCCGCGCGGGGUGACGGCGUACCUUUUGUAUAAUGGGUCAGCGACUUCAUGUGUCGAGCAAGCUUAAGCCGUUAGGUGUAGGCGCAGCGAAAGCGAGUCUGAAUAGGGCGACUAAGUUCGACGUAUGACGACCCGAAACCAGGUGAUCUAGCCAUGAGCAGGUUGAAGGCUGGGUAACACCAGCUGGAGGACCGAACCCGUGAAUGUUGAAAAAUUCUGGGAUGACUUGUGGAUAGGGGUGAAAGGCCAAUCAAACCUGGACAUAGCUGGUUCUCCGCGAAAACUAUUUAGGUAGUGCGUCAGACGAAUUCUUCGGGGGGUAGAGCACUGGAUGGAUGCGGGCGACGCGAGUUGUACCAAUUCUAACCAAACUCCGAAUACCCGAAAGAACUAUCUGGCAGACACACGGCGGGUGCUAACGUCCGUCGUGAAAAGGGAAACAACCCUAACCAUCAUCUAAGGCCCCCAAGUAACGGCUAAGUGGGAAACGAUGUGGGAUUGCUUUGACAACCAGGAUGUUGGCUUAGAAGCAGCCAUCAUUUAAAGAAAGCGUAACAGCUCACUGGUCAAGCGAUCCUGCGCGGAAAAUGUAACGGGGCUCAAGCCAUGCGCCGAAGGUAUGGGUGUGCGCCAAGAUUCGUCUUGGAGCACGCGGUAGCGGAGCGUUCCGUAGGCCGGUGAAGGUCAGCUGUGAGGCUGGCUGGAGGUAUCGGAAGUGAGAAUGCUGACAUGAGUAGCGACAAAGAGGGUGAGAAACCCUCUCGCCGAAAGUCCAAGGGUUCCUGCGUAAAGCUAAUCUGCGCAGGGUUAGCCGGCCCCUAAGGUGAGGCCGAAAGGCGUAAUCGAUGGGAACCAGGUAAAUAUUCCUGGGCCAGUGUGAAGUGACGAAUGCUGUAACUUGUCUGGGCUUAUUGGAUUGCUCCGGGCAGGGAAGGUGUUCCAGGAAAUAACUCACACGGAGACCGUACCCGAAACCGACACAGGUGGACUGGUAGAGUAUACCAAGGCGCUUGAGAGAACUAUGCUGAAGGAACUCGGCAAAUUGCACGCGUAACUUCGGGAUAAGCGUGACUCUGCUUAGGGCAACCUUUGUAGAGUGGCACAGGCCAGGGGGUAGCGACUGUUUAUCAAAAACACAGGGCUCUGCGAAGCCGUAAGGCGACGUAUAGGGUCUGACGCCUGCCCGGUGCCGGAAGGUUAAAAGGAGCGGUGAGAGCUGCGAAUUGAAGCCCCGGUAAACGGCGGCCGUAACUAUAACGGUCCUAAGGUAGCGAAAUUCCUUGUCGGGUAAGUUCCGACCUGCACGAAUGGCGUAACGACUUCCCCACUGUCUCCAGCAUAGGCUCAGCGAAAUUGAACUCCCCGUGAAGAUGCGGGGUUCCCGCGGUCAGACGGAAAGACCCUAUGAACCUUUACUGCAGCUUCGCCUUGGCGUUAGCAUCAAUAUGUGUAGGAUAGGUGGGAGGCUAUGAAUCCGGGGCGCCAGUUCCGGGGGAGCCAACCUUGAAAUACCACCCUUAUUGUUGCUGACGUCUAACCGCAGCCCGUUAUCCGGGUUCGGGACAUGGCGUGGCGGGCAGUUUGACUGGGGCGGUCGCCUCCCAAAGUGUAACGGAGGCGCGCGAUGGUGGGCUCAGAGCGGUCGGAAAUCGCUCGUCGAGUGCAAUGGCAUAAGCCCGCCUGACUGCGAGACUGACAAGUCGAGCAGAGACGAAAGUCGGCCAUAGUGAUCCGGUGGUUCUGCGUGGAAGGGCCAUCGCUCAACGGAUAAAAGGUACUCUAGGGAUAACAGGCUGAUUUUGCCCAAGCGUCCACAGCGACGGCAAAGUUUGGCACCUCGAUGUCGGCUCAUCACAUCCUGGGG
rnacentral:rRNA from 1 species